rnacentral:rRNA from 1 species
AUGUGGUUUAAUUCGAAGCAACGCGAAGAACCUUACCAGGCCUUGACAUGCAGAGAACUUUCCAGAGAUGGAUUGGUGCCUUCGGGAACUCUGACACAGGUGCUGCAUGGCUGUCGUCAGCCCGUGUCGUGAGAUGUUGGGUUAAGUCCCGUAACGAGCGCAACCCUUGUCCUUAGUUACCAGCACGUUAUGGUGGGCACUCUAAGGAGACUGCCGGUGACAAACCGGAGGAAGGUGGGGAUGACGUCAAGUCAUCAUGGCCCUUACGGCCUGGGCUACACACGUGCUACAAUGGUCGGUACAAAGGGUUGCCAAGCCGCGAGGUGGAGCUAAUCCCAUAAAACCGAUCGUAGUCCGGAUCGCAGUCUGCAACUCGACUGCGUGAAGUCGGAAUCGCUAGUAAUCGUGAAUCAGAAUGUCACGGUGAAUACGUUCCCGGGCCUU